GACGAACGCUGGCGGCGUGCCUAAUACAUGCAAGUUGAGCGCUGAAGGUUGGUACUUGUACCAACUGGAUGAGCAGCGAACGGGUGAGUAACGCGUGGGGAAUCUGCCUUUGAGCGGGGGACAACAUUUGGAAACGAAUGCUAAUACCGCAUAAAAACUUUAAACACAAGUUUUAAGUUUGAAAGAUGCAAUUGCAUCACUCAAAGAUGAUCCCGCGUUGUAUUAGCUAGUUGGUGAGGUAAAGGCUCACCAAGGCGAUGAUACAUAGCCGACCUGAGAGGGGGAUCGGCCACAUGGGGACUGGAAAGCGGCCCAAACUCCUAGGGGAGGCAGCAGUAGGGAAUCUUCGGCAAUGGACGAAAGUCUGACCGAGCAACGUCGCGUGAGUGAAGAAGGUUUUCGGAUCGUAAAACUCUGUUGGUAGAGAAAAACGUUGGGGAGAGUGGAAAGCUCAUCAAGUGACGGUAACUACCCAGAAAGGGACGGCUAACUACGU
rnacentral:rRNA from 1 species